rnacentral:rRNA from 1 species
UAAUACAUAGACCUCGAGCGUUAUCCGGAUUUACUGGGCGUAAAGCGUGCGUAGGUGUCUUUUUAAGUCUCUGGUGAAAUCUCCGGGCUCAACUCGGAAACUGUCAGAGAAACUGGAAGGAUUGAGUGCGACAGAGGCAGACGGAAUUCUCAGUGUAGCGGUAAAAUGCGUAGAUAUUGAGAAGAACACCGAUGGCGAAGGCAGUCUGCUGGGUCGAUACUGACACUGAGGUACGAAAGCGUGGGUAGCGAACGGGAUUAGAUACCCCGGUAGUCCACGCCGUAAACGAUGGGUACUAGGUAUCUGGGGCAUAGACCCCCUGGGUAUCGUAGCUAACGCGUUAAGUACCCCGCCUGGGGAGUACGGUCGCAAGACUA